UUUUUGGAUUGGAGUCCCUCAGUCCGGUCACUCGAAGAUUGAGUUGGACUCUCCGCUCGUUUGCCCACAGCGCCGAGGAAGCUGGUGCACGAAUUCCCGGGAUCUGUGCUGUACAUCCGUCUGAACGCCCCUGCAAAGUCGAGACGCUUGAAAAAACCUUGCAGUUGCUCAUAUCUGCUGUGAUAUUUGGGAGGGGGAGGGGGAAAAAAAGGCAGGAUGUGUCUUCAGUUCCUUUCCUUUUCAUUUCUCCAUCCCCAAGUGGCACCUCUUGCAUGUCAGUGCCUAUAAAGCCCUGAGUGAAGCGCUGCUGGAGGGACGCCAGGAGACUUCCCACGCUCGUCAUUAGCGCCCGUGCCUCGUCUGAAGGAAGGAAGGAUGGUGUCUGCCAGCCUGCUUUGUGCCUCCUCUUGCAGGAAUCCCAUUUCCUGGCAGGGAGGUGGAAAUCAAAGCCCGGGCUGAGCUAAUGGAGACGGACACUCCAGCUCGGGUGCAUCUGUGGCUCCCCGAGACAGACUCGCCGCGUCUGGUUGGCUCGUCCCAAGCCGACGGAGCAGCUCCCCUGGAACACGCUCCCGGUGCUUUGCCGUAAACGGGCCAGUCGUGUUUAAUAUGUGCAACUGUGAUUGCAUCAUUUAUUAAAUCAAAUGGCCUCAUGUGUUUUUCCCA